AAACUGAAGAGUUUGAUCCUGGCUCAGAUUGAACGCUGGCGGCAUGCCUAACACAUGCAAGUCGAACGGUAACGCGAAGAGCUUGCUCUUUGGCGACGAGUGGCGGACGGGUGAGUAAUACUUAGGAAUCUACCCAGUAGCGGGGGACAACUCGGGGAAACUCGAGCUAAUACCGCAUACGCCCUACGGGGGAAAGCAGGGGAUCUUCGGACCUUGCACUAUUGGAUGAGCCUAAGUCGGAUUAGCUAGUUGGUAGGGUAAAAGCCUACCAAGGCGACGAUCCGUAGCUGGUCUGAGAGGACGAUCAGCCACACUGGGACUGAGACACGGCCCAGACUCCUACGGGAGGCAGCAGUGGG
rnacentral:rRNA from 1 species